UACAGAGGGGGCAAGCGUUAUUCGGAAUUAUUGGGCGUAAAGGGCGCGUAGGCGGCCUGGCAAGUGGAAGGUGAAAUCCCUCGGCUUAACCGAGGAACUGCCCUCCAAACUGCUUGGCUUGAGUCCGGGAGAGGUGAGUGGAAUUCCCAGUGUAGCGGUGAAAUGCGUAGAGAUCGGGAGGAACACCAGUGGCGAAGGCGGCUACCUGGACCAGCACUGACACUGAGGCACGAAAGCGUGGGGAGCAAACAGG
rnacentral:rRNA from 1 species